GGGCUCGUGAUCUAGUGGUUAUGAUGUCGCCCUUACAAGGCGAAUGUCCCCAGUUCGAAUCUGGGCGAGCCCA
rnacentral:tRNA from 1 species